rnacentral:rRNA from 1 species
GACGAACGCUGGCGGCGUGCUUAACACAUGCAAGUCGAACGGGCCUAUCUUCUUUUUUGGGGGUGGGUUGAGUGGCGAACGGGUGAGUAUCACGUGAGUAACCUGCCCUUCGGUCCUGGAUAACCGCUUGAAAGGGCGGCUAAUACGGGGUGGUCCGGUUGGUCCGCAUGGGCUGGUCGGGAUAGAUUCACUGUUUUUGGUGUUUCGGCGGGGGAUGGGCUCGCGGCCUAUCAGCUUGUUGGUGGGGUGAUGGCCUACCAAGGCGGUGACGGGUAGCCGGCCUGAGAGGGUGGGCGGCCACACUGGGACUGAGAUACGGCCCAGACUCCUGCGGGAGGCAGCAGUGGGGGGUAUUGCACAAUGGGCGGAAGCCUGAUGCAGCGACGUCGCGUGAGGGAUGGAGGCCUUCGGGUUGUGAACCUCUGUUUCCGGUGGUGAAGGCCCUGUCCGUGUGGUGGGGCUGACGGUAGCCGGGGAUGAAGCGCCGGCUAACUACGUG